UACCCUUUAAAUUUUGAAUGUCAAAUCCAUUUAGAAGUUUGAUUGUAGGUACCUCGUUCACGUCUUGGUUACAUUCCACCUAGUGUUUACUAUUUAUUGUCCUUUUUAUAAAUGUUCUUCUUAAAAAUCUUAUUAUGGUAAGGAUAAUGUAUUUGUUCCCUUCAGGUAUCUGCCACUGCAGCUGACGUUGAGACAACUCUGUCUUCCUGCAAGUCCUCGCCUGAUACCUGGCACUUCAUUGAUAUAAAUCAAGAGAGAGGAACAAAUGCCAAAAUCAUCAGACAAGAUUGUCUCUAAGAAGAAAGGUGUGAUCGUCCAGAAGUCGUCUUCUGCAGUUAAAUACACACGUGGCCAUGCUACUGAAGAAUCUCCUUGACUUUUUAAUGGAACUUCAUAUAGAUCCUGGCAGCACUGGAAUAAUGCUGCAGAGAGGAACAGCGGCUAUCAAAGUGAUGAUCGUCUCUUCAUCCACAAGAACUAAGAUGUAAAAACACAAACCUACCUCACAGGACAAUUUUAAGAGGUAACCUGCAAGUCUAGCUUGCAGUGGCACAUGUGCCUAUACGGUUUCAUCCUAAAUGUUUUUGAUGCUUAUUAUUGAUACAUCCUGACAAAAUGUUCUACUGUACAAUAAUAGUUUCAAAAUGGCCUUAGGUAUGUUUUCAAACUUAUGUCUUAAAUAAAAAAGUAAACUAUAGGUUAUGCCCUUCACAUUUGGUAAGGAUUAGGGGCAGUCUCUGACAGGCAAUUUAAGAACGUACGUUUAUUGCCAUAGUCUAAAACAAGACACUACUGUUUCUGUUUACUUCUAGAAAGCUUUUUCAGCAUUGUCCAACAGGAUUUAUUUUCUUUCCUUUUUUGUAUUCAUGUUGACAUUGACAUUUCUCUUUGAAAUAAAGGUGUUUGAUUUGGAAGUUUUUGUUGCUUAUUUUGCAUAAUAUUCACAAUAAUGCAUAUCUUAAGCAGUUGUCUUUAGCCCUGGGAAUUCAUUGGGCAAGUUCAUGGG